rnacentral:rRNA from 1 species
AUUGAACGCUGGCGGCGUGCCUUACACAUGCAAGUCGAACGGCAGCAUGGAGAGCUUGCUCUCUGAUGGCGAGUGGCGAACGGGUGAGUAAAGCAUCGGAACGUACCGUGUAGUGGGGGAUAACGUAGCGAAAGUUACGCUAAUACCGCAUACGCACUGAGGUGGAAAGCAGGGGAUCGUAAGACCUUGCGCUAUACGAGCGGCCGAUGUCAGAUUAGCUAGUUGGUAGGGUAAAGGCCUACCAAGGCGACGAUCUGUAGCGGGUCUGAGAGGAUGAUCCGCCACACUGGGACUGAGACACGGCCCAGACUCCUACGGGAGGCAGCAGUGGGGAAUUUUGGACAAUGGGGGCAACCCUGAUCCAGCCAUGCCGCGUGAGUGAAGAAGGCCUUCGGGUUGUAAAGCUCUUUCGGCCGGGAAGAAAUCGCACAGGCUAAUACCCUGUGUGGAUGACGGUACCGGCAUAAGAAGCACCGGCUAACUACGUGCCAGCCGCCGCCGUAA